CGCCGCGGUGAUACGUAGGGUGCGAGCGUUGUCCGGAUUUAUUGGGCGUAAAGAGCUUGUAGGCGGUUUGUUGCGUCGGAAGUGAAAACUCAGGGCUUAACUCUGAGCCUGCUUUCGAUACGGGCAGACUUGAGGAAGGUAGGGGAGAAUGGAAUUCCUGGUGAAGCGGUGGAAUGCGUAGAUAUCAGGAGGAACACCGGUGGCGAAGGCGGUUCUCUGGACCUUUCCUGACGCUGAGAAGCGAAAGCGUGGGGAGCAAACAGGCUUAGAUACCCUGGUAGUCCACGCCGUAAACGGUGGGUACUAGGUGUGGGGGACAUUCCACGUUCUCCGUGCCGUAGCUAACGCAUUAAGUACCCCGCCUGGGGAGUACGGCCGCAAGGCUAAAACUCAAAGGAAUUGACGGGGCCCCGCACAAGCGGCGGAGCAUGCGGAUUAAUUCGAUGCAACGCGAAGAACCUUACCUGGGUUUGACAUAUGCCGGAAACAUCUAGAGAUAGGUGCCCCUUUUUGGUCGGUUUACAGGUGGUGCAUGGCC
rnacentral:rRNA from 1 species